GACGAACGCUGGCGGCGUGCUUAACACAUGCAAGUGGAGCGACGAACCGGGGCUUGCCCCGGGGCAGAGCCGCGAACGGGUGAGUAACACGUGGGUAACCUGCCUCAAUGAUUGGGACAACCCGGGGAAACUCGGGCUAAUACCAAAUGUGUUCACUCCUUCUAAGGGGGAGUGAGGAAAGGAAGCUUCGGCCUCCGCAUUGAGAUGGGCCCGCGGCCCAUUAGCUUGUGGUGAGGUAACGGCUCACCAAGGCUUCGAUGGUAGCUGGUCUGAGAGGACGAUCAGCCACACUGGGACUGAGACACGGCCCAGACUCCUACGGGAGGCAGCAGUGGGGAAUCUUGCACAAUGCGCGAAAGCGUGAUGCAGCAACGCCGCGUGGGGGAAGAC
rnacentral:rRNA from 1 species